rfam:Rathayibacter sp. Leaf296 contig_2, whole genome shotgun sequence.
GGGGAUGAUCGGUUUCGACAUUGCCUGCGAAACUGCGAGAAGCGGGUCGAGGAUUCAGGGUCAUCUCGUUAACGAUCUCUGAAAAACACAGGUGCCGAACAGAAGCGCACCGACUUCGCUCUCGCUGCCUAAGCAGAGUCGAUAGUCCGUCAGCCCGUGGGUGCGUCCUCGCCCCGGAUCCUGGCGUCAUCUAGAGGACUUGCUGCGUCGUUACGCCUGAGGGCGACGCGGGACUCGAACUCGGGCUGGGCCCGUCGACCGAUGCGUCAGUGGUAACGGUCGGGGCCGAGUAGAACGCUUUCACUGGCUACACCCGUAGAAGGCGCAGAAUCACAGCGAUGGACGGGGGUUCAAUUCCCCCCAUCUCCACCA